CAAAGUCGGUAUACGUUAGUUGCACGCCAUAGGAACGCUUAGCAAUCGUUCAAAGCGCGUUGCAUAAGUUUGAAGUACGUCGAAAUACAAAGGUAAAAUUGAGAAAGGAAAUGGGGAAUGUGUCAAAGCGACAACAACCCGACCAUAGAACAGGCAACAGACAAAGGCCACCAAUGGGUCUUCAAUGUAGAGAGAAACUCCCGC
rnacentral:lncRNA from 1 species